CCCGUGCGCUCUGUAACUAGGCGAGUCAGCAUCACAGCCCAAUGGAAUAUACUCUAAAGAUGGGAUUUUCAUGCAAAAUAUUUAAAAGAUUCCAUCUUGAUCUCUUGUGCGGCUUAAGCAUUUAAAGAUAUAACUUGGGGUUCUCCCUGGAUCCUGGCUACAUCCCAUGAAGCCCAAGUGCACAAUUUUGGAAUAUUUCCUCCACGGUGCUUUGCUUGCUUGUUUGCUUUCGGCUGGGUCAGGUUUUAGCAGCUUGGUGCUAAAUUGCUGUCUCAAAAUGCAGAGGAUCUAAUUUGCAGAGGAAAACAGCCAAAGAAGGAAGAGGAGGAAAAGGAAAAAAAAAGGGGUAUAUUGUGGAUGCUCUACUUUUCUUGGAAAUGCAAAAGAUUAUGCAUAUUUCUGUCCUCCUUUCUCCUGUUUUAUGGGGACUGAUUUUUGGUGUCUCUUCUAACAGCAUACAGAUAGGGGGGCUAUUUCCUAGGGGCGCCGAUCAAGAAUACAGUGCAUUUCGAGUAGGGAUGG
rnacentral:lncRNA from 1 species